UCUGGUGGAUUAGUGGCGAACGGGUGAGUAACACGUGAGCAACCUGCCCAAGACUUUCGGGAUAAGCCUGGGAAACUGGGUCUAAUACUGGAUAUGACCUUUCAUCGCAUGGUGUUUGGUGGAAAGAUUUUUUGGUUUUGGAUGGGCUCGCGGCCUAUCAGCUUGUUGGUGAGGUAAUGGCUUACCAAGGCUUCGACGGGUAACCGGCCUGAGAGGGUGACCGGUCACACUGGGACUGAGACACGGCCCAGACUCCUACGGGAGGCAGCAGUGGGGAAUAUUGCACAAUGGGCGAAAGCCUGAUGCAGCGACGCCGCGUGAGGGAUGACGGCCUUCGGGUUGUAAACCUCUUUCAGUCAGGAACAAGCCUUCGGGUGAGGGUACUGGCAGAAGAAGCACCGGCUAACUACGUGCCAGCAGCCGCGGUAAUACGUAGGGUGCGAGCGUUAUCCGGAAUUAUUGGGCGUAAAGAGCUUGUAGGCGGUUUGUCGCGUCUGCUGUGAAAGCCCGGGGCUUAACUCCGGGUCUGCAGUGGGUACGGGCAGGCUAGAGUGAUGUAGGGGUAACUGGAAUUCCUGGUGUAGCGGUGGAAUGCGCAGA
rnacentral:rRNA from 1 species